GUACUCCUACGGGACGCAGCAGUGAGGAAUAUUGGUCAAUGGGCGCGAGCCUGAACCAGCCAAGUCGCGUGAGGGAAGACGGUGCUAUGGAUUGUAAUCCUCUUUUGUCGGGGAGCAAAGCGAACCACGUGUGGUUCAUUGAGAGUACCCGAAGAAAAAGCAUCGGCUAACUCCGUGCCAGCAGCCGCGGUAAUACGGAGGAUGCGAGCGUUAUCCGGAUUUAUUGGGUUUAAAGGGUGCGCAGGCGGAGGUGCAAGUCAGCGGUCAAAUUGCGGGGCUCAACCCCGUACUGCCGUUGAAACUGC
rnacentral:rRNA from 1 species